GGGUGACAACAAUAGCAAUGGAGUGUCUUCUACAUUGUGGUAUCAUAGGUGCAUACUGUGGCCCUGAAGAGAAGAAAGAAGCACAGCACCAGCAAGACUGAGUGGGAAACAAAGAUCCACAUGCUGGUCAAGGGAUCUCUUCCCUGGACCUGGAAGAGAGGCCACUGGCCCACCUGGAGCCUGAUGGACUCUAUCAUAUGCAAAUAUAGGAAGGAUUCCUGGCAGCCUAUUCAGGGUCAGACCCCUAAUGCUGAUUAAAAAGUGGAAUUGUCCUUCAGGUGACAGAAGUAUCUUCAGGUAGGGAUGAGCUCCCUAAGUACAGCACAGUCAGCCCUUAAAACAUGUACAUACAAAUAACAACAAUGGACUCAGCAGGGUGUAUUCAUAUAUUUCAGGAUACUUAUUCA
rnacentral:lncRNA from 1 species